rnacentral:rRNA from 1 species
UACAGAGGGUGCGAGCGUUAAUCGGAAUUACUGGGCGUAAAGGGCGCGUAGGCGGUAAGUUAAGUUAUAUGUGAAAUCCCUGGGCUUAACCUAGGAACUGCAUGUGAUACUGGCUUGCUAGAGUGCUGUAGAGGAUAGUGGAAUUUCCGGUGUAGCGGUGAAAUGCGUAGAUAUCGGAAGGAACACCAGUGGCGAAGGCGGCUAUCUGGACAGACACUGACGCUGAGGCGCGAAAGCGUGGGGAUCAAACAGG